rnacentral:rRNA from 1 species
AUGGCUCAGGACGAACGCUGGCGGCGUGCCUAAUACAUGCAAGUCGAACGGUCUUUCUAUGGAAGCUUGCUUCCACUGAGAAGAUAGUGGCGAACGGGUGAGUAACACGUGGGUAACCUGCCCAUAAGAGGGGGAUAACAUCCGGAAACGGGUGCUAAUACCGCAUAGUUUCUUGAUCGCAUGAUCGGGAAGGAAAGACGGCCUUUGUGCUGUCGCUUAUGGAUGGACCCGCGGCGUAUUAGUUAGUUGGUGAGGUAACGGCUCACCAAGACGAUGAUACGUAGCCGACCUGAGAGGGUGAUCGGCCACAUUGGGACUGAGACACGGCCCAAACUCCUACGGGAGGCAGCAGUAGGGAAUCUUCCGCAAUGGACGAAAGUCUGACGGAGCAACGCCGCGUGAGUGAAGAAAAGGUUUUCGGAUCGUAAAACUCUGUUGUCAGAGAAGAACAAGUUGGAGAGUAACUGCUCCAGCCUUGACGGUAUCUGACCAGAAAGCCACGGCUAACUACGUGCCAGCCGCCGC